GGUCAGUUGACACAUCCCUGCCAAUCUCCGGCAGACCCUCCCUCCCAGAUCCUCCCACCUCCUGGACAGCAUCCAUGUUGAAGCUGCCUUCAAUAUGGAUGCUGUCCAGGAAGUAGGAGGGUCUGGGAGGGAGGGUCUGCCGGAGAUUGGCAGGGAUGUGUCAGCUG